AACGAACGCUGGCGGCAGGCCUAACACAUGCAAGUCGAGCGGACCUUUCGUGGUCAGCGGCGGUCGGGGGGGUAAGGCGUGGGAAUAUGCACUUCUCUACGCUGUCGUCCUGGUAGAGUGGGGUUAAUACAGUAGACGCUCUUUGGGGGAAAGAUGUAUCGGGGAAGGAUUAGGGCGGGUUGGAUUAGGUGGUUGGUGGGGGACUGGCGUCCCAAGCCGAGGAUCCAUAGCUGGUGUGAGAGGAGGACCAGCCACACUGGGACUGAGACACGGCCCAGACUCCGACGCGAGGCAGCAGAGGGGAGUCUUAGACACUGGGGGCAACCCUGAUAUAGCCAUGCCGCGGGAGUGAUGAAGGCGUUAGGGUUGUAAAGCUCUUUCAGCUGGGAAGAGAAUGACGGUACCAGCAGAAGAAGCCCCGGCUAACUACGUG
rnacentral:rRNA from 1 species